AAGCCUGUGAACAAGAGCAAGAGAGAACAUUGGUAAAGAAUUUGGAGCUGCUGAGAGCUUCGAAGCGUUUAACUCAGGUGCCGAGCUUGCUUUGCUUUUGCUUGACAGAUAACUGUGUUUUGAAGACGGGUGCGAUUGAUGUGGAUGAAUGAAGCUUUGCUGACUUUUGUAAGAACGGGGAAGUUUACUGCACCUAUGAUGAGCUUGGACGAGGGCCAUAUAUAUAUGAGAAGCACCAUAGAGAUCAUACACAGAGGUGAAGGCACAGUGAAAGGUCACGAAGUUUCAUAAGUUCCUAACGUGCCCUAUAGAAGUAGUAAAGUCAUACAGAUUUGGAAUGACAUGAUGGUGAGAGAACAAGUCUGGAACAUCUAAAUUCCUCAGAUUCUUGGAUGUACGUGUCUGCACUGCAGUGAGGUGAGUGCGUCUGAACCUCAGGGUUUCUCCCACACCCCAAAGACAUGAUGACAGAUCUCAGAGUGGGUCUCUAUGUGCUGCCUUGUUCAAGA